rnacentral:rRNA from 1 species
GAGUGCCUCGCGGCCUAUCAGCUAGUUGGUGGGGUAACGGCUCACCAAGGCGACGACGGGUAGCUGGUCUGAGAGGAUGGCCAGCCACAUUGGGACUGAGACACGGCCCAGACUCCUACGGGAGGCAGCAGUGGGGAAUAUUGCGCAAUGGGCGAAAGCCUGACGCAGCGACGCCGCGUGUGGGAUGACGGCCUUCGGGUUGUAAACCACUGUCGGGAGGGACGAAUGCCCCGCAAGGGGAGUGACGGUACCUCCAAAGGAAGCACCGGCUAACUCCGUGCCAGCAGCCGCGGUAAUACGGAGGGUGCGAGCGUUGUCCGGAAUCACUGGGCGUAAAGGGCGCGUAGGCGGCCUGAUAAGUAGGGGAUGAAAUCCUGCGGCUUAACCGCAGGGCUGCCUUCUAAACUGUCGGGCUCGAGCACGGUAGAGGCAGAUGGAAUUCCCGGUGUAGUGGUGGAAUGCGUAGAGAUCGGGAAG